CCUACGGGAGGCAGCAGUGAGGAAUAUUGGUCAAUGGACGAGAGUCUGAACCAGCCAAGUCGCGUGAAGGAUGACUGCCCUAUGGGUUGUAAACUUCUUUUAUAAAGGAAUAAAACGAGGCACGUGUGCCUUUUUGCAUGUACUUUAUGAAUAAGGAUCGGCUAACUCCGUGCCAGCAGCCGCGGUAAUACGGAGGAUCCGAGCGUUAUCCGGAUUUAUUUGGUUUAAAGGGAGCGUAGAUGGGUUGUUAAGUCAGUUGUGAAAGUUUGCGGCUCAACCGUAAAAUUGCAAUUGAUACUGGCAGUCUUGAGUACAGUUGAGGUAGGCGGAAUUCGUGGUGUAGCGGUGAAAUGCUUAGAUAUCACGAAGAACCCCGAUUGCGAAGGCAGCUUACUAACCUGUGACUGACAUUGAUGCUCGAAAGUGUGGGUAUCAAACAGGAUUAGAUACCCGGGUAGUC
rnacentral:rRNA from 1 species